AGGAGAGAAAGCAAGAAAAACCUCAAAGAAGCCAACUGUUUUGUCUGGGAUGGUACAAAGAAUAAGUGUUGGAGUGAAUUUUUUUGGUCUAACGGAAAGAAGCGAUGGGAAGAUGUAAGGUGAGGUCAUCAACCAGACGGUGACACACAAACAGUUAUGAGAGGCAUGGGAAAUACACAGAACAACCCUGAGGAUGUCUAUCACUGGAAAGAGAGCAAGUUGUAACCACACUAAUCGGUGUCUGCCCAGUGUCCAACUGCUUUUCCUUCAAACCACUUGAAGCCCUUUUGUGUGCUGCACUGACAGGAGGUGGAGUCACAAGCUAGUUCACUGCAAACCAGGUAGAUAAGCCUGUGGUGACAUGAGCAACCAGCACAGCUACAGAAGGCUGACAAGACUGAGGACAGCCAUUUCCCCUUCUGAGCCUCAGUUUCCUCGUUUGUAAAAUGAUAAUUAUACUGACUCCAAUAUACAAAGCACAAGAGUGGAAGAACUGAUAUUUGCACAAAUGAUCGUAUAUAAUGGGAAGCUUUGGGCCAAAGGAUGGAAACCUGAGGUCUGGUUCUGAAACUUUUAGCAGAUGAUGUUACAUCUCUCAUCCUUAGUUUCUUUUAUGUUCAGUAAAAUGGAUAUGAUAAUAGUGUCAGUCUAUCUCACAAGGACUAUUGUGAGGAAAGUAUUGGAUGAACCUGAAAGUGCUAUAAAAAUGUAAGCUAUUAAUAGAGUACUGCAGUGAGGAAAGCACAUUAGAUGUAUAUACGUACA